AUUGAACGCUGGCGGCAGGCUUAACACAUGCAAGUCGAGCGAGCGGCGGACGGGUGAGUAAUGUCUGGGAAACUGCGUGAUGGAGGGCGUUAAGUACUGGAAACGGUAGCUAAUACCGCAUACCAUCAGAUGUGCCCAGAUGGGAGUAGCGAGUGGGGGGGGUAAUGGCUUACCUAGGCGACGAUCCCUAGCUGGUCUGAGAGGAUGACCAGCCACACUGGAACGGAGACACGGUCCAGACGCCUACGGGAGGCAGCAGUGGGGAAUAGUGGACAAUGGGCGCAAGCCUGAUGCAGCCAUGCCGCGUGUGUUAAGAAGGCCUUCGGGUUGUAAAGCACUUUCAGCGGGGAGGCGUUACUCGCAGAAGAAGCACCGGCUAACUCCGUGCCAGCAGCCGCGGUAAUUC
rnacentral:rRNA from 1 species